rnacentral:rRNA from 1 species
GCAGUCGAGCGAGAAAGGGCUUCGGCCCCGGUAAAGCGGCGCACGGGUGAGUAACACGUAGGUAAUCAACCCCCGAGUGGUGGACAACUCUCCGAAAGGAGAGCUAAUACAGCAUGACAGCACGAUUUUCCGAAGUCGUGCCUAAAGCGGGCCUCUUCAUGAACGCUCGCGCUUGGGGAUGAGCCUGCGGCCCAUCAGCUAGUUGGUCGGGGUAAUGGCCCACCAAGGCGUAGACGGGUAGCUGGUCUGAGAGGAUGAACAGCCACACUGGAACUGAGACACGGUCCAGACUCCUACGGGAGGCAGCAGUCGGGAAUCUUCCGCAAUGGGCGCAAGCCUGACGGAGCGACGCCGCGUGAGCGAUGAAGGCCUUCGGGUUGUAAAGCUCUGUGGGGAGGGAAGCAUAAGUUCAAAUUAACACUCUGAAUGAUGACGGUACCUCCUUAGCAAGCACCGGCUAACUCUGUGCCAGCAGCCGCGGUAAGACAGAGGGUGCAAACGUUGUUCGGAUUUACUGGGCGUAAAGCGCGUGUAGGCGGCUUUGCAAGUCGGAUGUGAAAGCCCACGGCUCAACCGUGGAAGUGCAUCCGAAACGGCAUGGCUUGAGUCUCGGAGAGGAAGGUGGAAUGCUUGGUGUAGAGGUGAAAUUCGUAGAUAUCAAGCAGAACACCUGCGGCGAAGGCGGCCUUCUGGACGAUGACUGACGCUGAGACGCGAAAGCGUGGGGAGCAAACAGGAUUAGAUACCCUGGUAGUCCACGCCGUAAACGAUGAGUGCUAGGUGUCACGGGCUUUGACCCUCGUGGUGCCGAAGCUAACGCGAUAAGCACUCCGCCUGGGGAGUACGGCCGCAAGGCUAAAACUCAAGGAAUUGACGGGGGCCCGCACAAGCGGUGGAGCCUGUGGUUUAUUUCCAGGCACGCGAGACCUUUACCAGC